AGAGUUUGAUCAUGGCUCAGGAUGAACGCUAGCGGCAGGCUUAAUACAUGCAAGUCGUGGGGCAGCAGCUCUGUAGCAAUACAGAGGCUGGCGACCGGCAAACGGGUGCGGAACACGUACGCAAUCUACCCAAAACUGGUGAAUAGCCUUCCGAAAGGAAGAUUAAUACACCGUAACCUAUUGAAGUGGCAUCACUUUAUUAGUAUAGCUCCGGCGGUUUUGGAUGAGCGUGCGGCUGAUUAGAUAGUUGGCGGGGUAACGGCCCACCAAGUCUGCGAUCAGUAACUGGUGUGAGAGCACGACCAGUCACACGGGCACUGAGACACGGGCCCGACUCCUACGGGAGGCAGCAGUAAGGAAUAUUGGUCAAUGGACGCAAGUCUGAACCAGCCAUGCCGCGUGAAGGAUGAAGGUCCUCUGGAUUGUAAACUUCUUUUAUAGGGGACGAAACCUCUUUUUCUAAAGAGACUGACGGUACCCUAGGAAUAAGCACCGGCUAACUCCGUGCCAGCAGCCGCGGUAAUACGGAGGGUGCAAGCGUUAUCCGGAUUCACUGGGUUUAAAGGGUGCGUAGGAGGGCAGGUAAGUCAAGUGGUGAAAUCUCCAAGCUUACUUGGAAA
rnacentral:rRNA from 1 species